GUGCCAGCAGCCGCGGUAAUACGAAGGGGGCUAGCGUUGCUCGGAAUUACUGGGCGUAAAGGGCGCGUAGGCGGAUCGUUAAGUCAGAGGUGAAAUCCCAGGGCUCAACCCUGGAACUGCCUUUGAUACUGGCGAUCUUGAGUAUGAGAGAGGUAUGUGGAACUCCGAGUGUAGAGGUGAAAUUCGUAGAUAUUCGGAAGAACACCAGUGGCGAAGGCGACAUACUGGCUCAUUACUGACGCUGAGGCGCGAAAGCGUGGGGAGCAAACAAGGAUUAGAUACCCUGGUAGUCC
rnacentral:rRNA from 1 species